rnacentral:tRNA from 1 species
NNAGAUAUGGCUCAGUGGUUAAAAGCACUGGCUGCUCCUGAGGACCUGGGUUCAAUUCCCAGCACCUAUA